rnacentral:ncRNA from 1 species
CGAAAAAUGAGUAGCAGCGUGGUGUCUCCCGCAGCCGGUGACCUCGGCUUCGUCCCAGCCACAG